AGUGAACGCUGGCGGCGUGCUUAACACAUGCAAGUCGAACGAGAACGGAUUAUAGCUUGCUAUAAUUGUCAGCUAAGUGGCGCACGGGUGAGUAAUGUAUAGGUAAUAUGCCUCUUACUAAGGGAUAACAAAUGGAAACGUUUGCUAAUACCUUAUACUCCUUAUUAACAUAAGUUAAUAAGGGAAAGAUUUAUUGGUAAGAGAUUAGCCUGUAUUGUAUCAGUUAGUUGGUGGGGUAAUGGCUUACCAAGACUAUGACACAUAACUGGCUUGAGAGGAUGAUCAGUCACACUGGAACUGAGACACGGUCCAGACUCCUACGGGAGGCAGCAGUGGGGAAUACUGCACAAUGGACGGAAGUCUGAUGCAGCAACGCCGCGUGGAGGAUGACACAUUUCGGUGCGUAAACUCCUUUUAUAUGAGAAGAUAAUGACGGUAUUAUAUGAAUAAGCACCGGCUAACUCCGUGCCAGCCGCCGCAGUAA
rnacentral:rRNA from 1 species